UACGUAGGGUGCGAGCGUUAAUCGGAAUUACUGGGCGUAAAGCGUGCGCAGGCGGUUAUAUAAGACAGAUGUGAAAUCCCCGGGCUUAACCUGGGACCUGCAUUUGUGACUGUAUAGCUAGAGUACGGCAGAGGGGGAUGGAAUUCCGCGUGUAGCAGUGAAAUGCGUAGAUAUGCGGAGGAACACCGAUGGCGAAGGCAAUCCCCUGGGCCUGUACUGACGCUCAUGCACGAAAGCGUGGGGAGCAAACAGG
rnacentral:rRNA from 1 species